AGGCAACGAUGCUUAGCGGGUCUGAGAGGAUGAUCCGCCACACUGGAACUGAGACACGGUCCAGACUCCUACGGGAGGCAGCAGUGGGGAAUAUUGCGCAAUGGGGGAAACCCUGACGCAGCAAUGCCGCGUGAGUGAGGAAGGCCUUCGGGUUGUAAAGCUCUGUCAGAUGGGAAGAAACCUCCUUGGUCUAAUAGGCCUUGGAACUGACGGUACCAUCAAAGGAAGCACCGGCUAACUUCGUGCCAGCAGCCGCGGUAAUACGAAGGGUGCAAGCGUUGUUCGGAUUUACUGGGCGUAAAGCGCGCGCAGGCGGAUUGAUAAGUCAGAUGUGA
rnacentral:rRNA from 1 species